UCCUGGCUGGCUCAGUUGGUAGAGCGUGUGACUCUUGACCUCCAGGUUGUGGGUUCAAGCCCCCACGUUGGGCG
rnacentral:tRNA from 1 species